rnacentral:rRNA from 1 species
AGGCUUUGAUCCUGGCUCAGGAUGAACGCUGGCGGUCUGCUUAACACAUGCAAGUCGAACGGGGUUCUUCGGAACCUAGUGGCGGACGGGUGAGUAACGCGUGAGAAUCUGCCCUUAGGAGGGGGAUAACGACUGGAAACGGUCGCUAAUACCCCAUAUGCCGAGAGGUGAAACGGUGAAUUCCGCCUGAGGAUGAGCUCGCGUCUGAUUAGCUAGUUGGUGGGGUAAGAGCCUACCAAGGCGACGAUCAGUAGCUGGUCUGAGAGGAUGACCAGCCACACUGGGACUGAGGCACGGCCCAGACUCCUACGGGAGGCAGCAGUGGGGAAUUUUCCGCAAUGGGCGCAAGCCUGACGGAGCAAGACCGCGUGGGGGAAGACGGUUUGUGGAUUGUAAACCCCUUUUGACCGGGGAAGAAGUCCUGACGGUACCGUUGAAUCAGCCUCGGGCUA